UGGGAAGUUUUGGACAAUGGGCGCAAGCCUGAUCCAGCUAUUCCGCGUGUGGGAUGAAGGCCCUCGGGUUGUAAACCACUUUUGUAGAGAACGAAAAGACACCUUUAAUAAAGGGUGUUGCUGACGGUACUCUAAGAAUAAGCACCGGCUAACUACGUGCCAGCAGCCGCGGUAAUACGUAGGGUGCGAGCGUUAAUCGGAAUUACUGGGCGUAAAGGGUGCGCAGGCGGUUGAGUAAGACAGAUGUGAAAUCCCGCAGAGUCAUACUCGGGAAUGGCAUAUGUGACUGCUCGACUAGAGUGUGUCAGAGGGAGGUGGAAUUCCACGUGUAGCAGUGAAAUGCGUAGAUAUGUGGAAGAACACCGAUGGCGAAGGCAGCCUCCUGGGACAUAACUGACGCUCAGGCACGAAAGCGUGGGGAGCAAACAGGAUUAGAUACCC
rnacentral:rRNA from 1 species